CCUACGGGAGGCAGCAGUGAGGAAUAUUGGUCAAUGGACGAGAGUCUGAACCAGCCAAGUAGCGUGAAGGAUGACUGCCCUAUGGGUUGUAAACUUCUUUUAUAUGGGAAUAAAACGUUCCACGUGUGGGAUUUUGUAUGUACCAUAUGAAUAAGGAUCGGCUAACUCCGUGCCAGCAGCCGCGGUAAUACGGAGGAUCCGAGCGUUAUCCGGAUUUAUUGGGUUUAACGGGAGCGUAGGUGGAUUGUUAAGUCAGUUGUGAAAGUUUGCGGCUCAACCGUAAAAUUGCAGUUGAAACUGGCAGUCUUGAGUACAGUAGAGGUGGGCGGAAUUCGUGGUGUGGCGGUGAAAUGCUUAGAUAUCACGAAGAACUCCGAUUGCGAAGGCAGUUCACUGGACUGCAACUGACACUGAGGCUCGAAAGUGUGGGUAUCAAACAGGAUUAGAUACCCUUGUAGUC
rnacentral:rRNA from 1 species